AUAAGAGGGUGAGGUAAAGUCCGGGCUCCACCGGAAAAAAUGCCGGGUAAUAACCGGGCGCCGUGCGGCAGAUGCAUAAUUUCUUGCAUAUCCCCAUGGCGACAGAAAGUGCAACAGAAAAUAAACCGCCGGCAACGGUAAGGGUGAAAAGGCAGUGUAAGAGACUACCGCUUUUCUGGUAACAGAAAUGGCAUUGCAAACCUCAUUUGGAGCAAGAUUGAGCAGAAGUCUUAUUCCGGUAAAUGACUUCGGGUAAAUCGCUAAAGGUAUCUGGUAACAGAUAUUUCGGAUAGAUGGUUAUUUGCUUCCAUGAAGCAGACAAAACCCGGCUUACAUCCCGUCUUUU
rnacentral:RNase_P_RNA from 1 species